GGGAUUGUGGCUCAGUGGUAGAGUGCUUGCCUAACACCAGCAGGACCUGGGUUCGAUUCUCAGCACCA
rnacentral:tRNA from 1 species